rnacentral:lncRNA from 1 species
AUCUGUCUCCAGAACCCUUCAUCUUGUAAAACUGAAACUCUAUACCCAUUAAACACUGCCUCCCCAUCUCCCCUCCCUGAAGCCCCUGGCAACCACCAUUCUACUUCCUGUCUCUGAAUUUCGCUACUAUAGGGACUUCAUACCAGUGGAAUUAGGUAGUAUUUGUCUUUUUGUGACCAGCUUAGCUCAUUUACCAUAAUGUCCUUAAGGUUCAUCUAUGUUGUAGUGUGUGUCAGAAUUUCCUUCCUUUUUAAGGCUGAAUACUCCAUUG